UACAGAGGUCUCAAGCGUUGUUCGGAUUCAUUGGGCGUAAAGGGCGCGUAGGCGGCCACCGCAAGUCGACUGUGAAAUCUCCGGGCUUAACUCGGAAAGGUCAGCCGAUACUGCGAGGCUAGAGUGCAGAAGGGGCAACUGGAAUUCUCGGUGUAGCGGUGAAAUGCGUAGAUAUCGAGAGGAACACCUGCGGCGAAGGCGGGUUGCUGGGCUGACACUGACGCUGAUUGUGCGAAAGCUAGGGGAGCGAACGGG
rnacentral:rRNA from 1 species